rnacentral:lncRNA from 1 species
GUGGCAUUGGAGGUCUCAUUCCUUGUUGCUGCGGAGGAAUUCCAGGCUGUGGUGGCAUCAUACCUCCAAUUGGUCCAACGGGUGGAUUACCCAAGGAAGCUUGUCCCGGACGAGGAAGAUUACGCUGAUACUUGGGCAGCUGUGCCCUUCUCUCUUCCAGUGAUAUAUCCUCAUCUGGAUGGAUCAACUUACUGGUUGCACUGGUUGUGGUAAGGGUAGCAGGCUUACUUGUUAUAGAUGUAGCUGGUUUAGCUGCAGUACUGUUUGUGGUGCUAGUGGUUGAGGUUGUAGACUGUGUGUAAGCAGGGAAUGUAGGUUUGGGGGGUUCUGUUGUUGUUGCUGUAGAAUUCAAAGGUUUGAAAUCAGUACCAACCGGACCUUGAACAGCUGCUGCAGCCUGCCCUGCACUUGGGAAGAGUGGUUUAGUAACAGGAGGCUGAGGGGUAGGUGCUGACGCAGCAGGAGCUGGUGGUCUGUUAAGAAUGCCUGGUGCUGUAGCAGGCUGUGCUUGUGUCAUAGGAGGCAUCCCAGGACGAGGACCAACAGGUGGCGGCAUACCUGGUGGCAUACCAGGCAUAAGAGGUGGUAUUCCUGGACCAGGAGGCAUCAUUCCACCCAUUGGCAUCAUCCCAGGUGGCAUUCCAGGCAUAACCGGAGGCAUUCCAGGCAUCAUGGGUGGGACACCUGCCAUUAAUGGUGGUAUACCAGGAGGCAUCCCUGGCGCACCUGGCACAGGAGGCAAACCUGGUUGUGCCAUUGGGGGAAUGUACCCCUGCUGCGGCUGAACUUGUUGGGGCUGAAAUGAAGUUGAAGCUGCAGAUUCAUCAUCUUCGUAUUCAUCAGAAUCAUCUUGUUGCUUCUUUUUCUGGCUUUCCUGAGUUUUUUGUUCAAGUAACCUCCUCCGUUCCUCCAUAUCUUUUUCUGGAAUGCCCUCCAUGCCAUAGAUUUCCAGUUCAAUGUCUGUUCUUCCAGGAAUAGCAUUUGGAACAGCAUCUAUUGUUUCUUUGUGCACCUGCAUGCAAUGUAUAGCUAAACCAGGUCCUGUAUACAAUUUCUUAUGACAUAUAUGGCAUUUAAAGUGCUUCGCUUUUUGAUGCUGUAUAAGGAUUUUUUCAUCAUCAAAAUCCCUGUUACAAUACCAGCACCAGGGCUUCAGCUGCUUCUUCUUCUUACGGCCCAUGACGACAGAACACGCGACCUACGCAGAAAAAAAAAUAAUAAUAAUAAAAAAACGAUCGGCCGACCCUCUUCCCCGCCGAGCCGCAGCGCCCGCAGUCGCGGCCGCGCAGACCCAAGCA